AAGUACACCAGCUGAGAAGCGCCAGACUUUCAGUUCUGCUCUUGCUUGGUUGAAACCAUUGGUUCCGUCUUUCAUUUCCUGUAUCGCUGAGAGCAGCUUCUCUGUGUUCCUACGGGGUCUGGAUCGGCCCUCGGAUGAGCAGGGCCCAGUCCGCGGCUUCUACCUGCACGGGGCUGGGGGGGCUCUGGUUCACGUCAGGGGGCCCCUUCCCAAUGUGGACGUGAGCGCUCUGAUGCUGGGGUGCGUGGAAAGAGGGCCCGUGUGGACUCCCACAGCCAUGCAUGUAACCGAAGACGUGAUACCAAAUGCAGAAGUCGACAAGGGGAGAAAAUGCCAUUUCAUCUGCACGUGGAACUAUGGUUUUGUACCAGAGCGAACAUCAGAAGAUUCGGGGGAACUUGAAAGUUACCUGAGGCCUUUGGCUUAGAGAUUAAAACUUCAACUUCUAUUCAUUCUAAAUAUUAGGCAGAUUCUGACUCCUCAAUGUACACAAAAAGAAAGAAAGAAAAGAAGAGAAAAAGAAAUGGCAUAUUUUUGUGCACUUUGAGAAAGAAGGAAUGGGUUAUUACCAGUCUUCAGUAUUCUCCUUAACGCUAGAAAUUAAGCUCAAAUUCCUUGAGCAGAAAACCAGUUUGUAAGAAAAGUCCUGUGAACCCAGAGAUGGAGAGAUGGGGGCCUGGGGGCUCCCUGACUGUGCUGGUCACACUCUUACUGUCACGUCACAAUUAACUAAGUCCCCUAGCCUUCAACAUGUCGCAGGUUUUGGAGGACACAUCGCUCGAGGGCAUUCUGAGAAUCACCUAGCACACAUUAGAAAAAGCAAGCAAAAUGCCCCUUUUAUUUUUUUAAGAACACAGUGUCUCAAUUAUCUCAUCUUGGGGAUGGACCAGGGGAAAAUCCAGAAAAUGUGAGUUCUGUUAUCUGGCCACUGAGCCCCGUUCUGCCUGAGGUUUGCCUCUCGAAUCCACCUCAAGGCUAUAUGGUGCAUCCUGGGCCUGAUCCUAGGGAAAGGAAAGAGGGGGUACAGGGGGCCCCAGCACCCAGAGGACCCCGGAGCCACCCAGCUUUCACCCAGCCUUCCUCGGAUGGGGGGGACGGAGAUGCACAGAGCUCCCCAGCGCAGGGAGCAGGUGCAGAGGAAGCAAGAGCCCCCUUUUCCUCCCAGGUCACACCUGGCCCUAACACCCCCAUCAGGAGGAAGCAGCCUGGGGACACCACAGUGAUAAACGUCUUCCUCACUGACUGUUUUCCUAGGCCCACAGACCUCUCCCUCUCGCUGUGUGUCCUUUACUCCCGGGUCCCCUCAGGGUUCUGCUCUUUCUUGGGUGUGCUCCGAGCUGGGAAUCAGCGCCACUGUGAUGGGGAAGGUGCUGGGGGAGGGGGAGGACCAGUGUCGCUCCCACAGACCCGAAGGCUCUCCCUGCGAGGGCGGGAAGCUUCUCCUACCUUCCGGGACCAACAGAGUUUAGUUACCUGCACGUCAGGUGCGCGUGGCGCCUGCUGCACAUGUCUUUUAGUAAAUGGGUCUUCUGUUACCCAUUAGAGAAUCCCGUCCUCCUUUUUAGGGAAAACUUCUCUCGUAGGAAAAAUUUAAAAUGCUUGUUCACUCAACAUGGGAUUUCAACUUCAAAAUUAGAAAAGAAGAAGGGCGUGUCCCCACUCUGUGCGGAAUAAGACUUCGGCUCUGCAGACGUGAAUGCGCGUGGCCGUUAGCCCCCUGACCAAGGGCAGCUGUCACUUUUAGGUCCCCUUCAGGAAAACGACGUCCCAGGCGAGGACACAGGCCAAGGCCAGGGGCAGCGCUUACAACAGACCCCCUUCCGCUGUAGAGGUGGAAACCUGUGCCAGGCUUUCCUUUAUGAAAACCCAAGGUCUGCUUCUGUGUAACUGAGAGGCUCCCCCUACCCCACCGACACCUCCUCUGCCAAGGACAGUGUUGGCGUUUAAGAACAAAUCUCCAGGAGAAUGAGGGACUGUGACUGUCCGGGAGCUGCAGACCCCCUGCUCCACGUGCCUCCUGGGGAGACACUGACGGCUGCCUCGGGGGGAGGGCCUGGGCCUGCAGGACAGGCUGGCACAGGCGUCCACCCGUCUGUUUGUCUUUCUGCCUAAGGAGCAAAACUUAGAGGUGCAGCAGGCAAACAGACCCAGAAGGACCCCAGCACAGCGGUUCCCGGGCUCUUCGUGAGACUCUUUUGUCGUUCGAUCUGUGACUUCUGCUCAGUCAGGAAGCAAAGCGGGACUGUCGUGCAAGACUGGAUCAUUUCUGUUACGUUAGUGGCGUCUUUGCAUGGCUGCUCUUUUGGGAGCCUCUCCAGUGGGGAAGUUGUCUAGAGUCCUGGGGGAAAUAAACUCUCCCCUUAAAUUCUUCUACAGCAGUGAAUGCAGGAGGAAAUCAGACUGUCCUCUUCCAUCUUUACUCACCACUCGUCCCGAGCAGCCGUCUCAGAGCUCAGCAAGUUUUCCCUCCUCUUCCCCGAAACCAGGCUGUGCCAGUACCAGCAGGCUUCUUCCUUCAGAAUAUCUAGAAGAAAAAUCCUUAAAAGAAAUUGAUUUUAAAAUAGGAUGGUUUUCUCAAGUCCUCAACAUGGUUUUUAUUACACAGACCAUCUGCGUAAGAGGUCAUGAGACCUACUGAAUGAUGAGAAUCAAGGAACAACGCGACGGGAAUACAUUACGGUGGAAAAGCCUGCACUUGUAUGAGAGAAUCAAUACCCCAGACGUCCUCCUCUACAGUGACAACUGAUUACCGUAAUAUCGUUUCAAGGAAAACAAACCGAGAAGCUUGGAAUCCGUGUUUCCCAUCUGGAGGUGCCGCAGCCUGGCUCUCAUGGCUGAUCUCAGAGAAUGAAAAAUCCUCCUCCAGGAACUGGGCUUCAGCGAUGUGGCAGAGCCUGCACCCCUCUCCCGGGAGCCACAGGACCCUGCGACGUGGAGCCGACUCCAUCCGGAGCUGCCAGGAGGAAUGCAAGUGAAGUGACCCACCUGAAACUUGAAAACUCUGCCUGUAAUCCCUCCAUCCCACGACAGAGAGGUGACAGAUAGACAGAUAAACAUGAUAAUGUAAGUAGAAAGUGUCCAGAAGGAGCAAAGAAUAGCAAAAGGAGGAGAAAACCUGGCUUGAGUUCCCCUUUCCAGACAUUUAAGUCACUACAGAAAGUUCUCCACAUACAUAUGUUAAUCCAACAUUCCUUCAAGCUCCAAGCCGAGUCGCGCAAAGCAGUGCCAGCGCCUUUGCUAAGCAGGUAUCAGCUAUCAGCGGCCUGGACAGAGGGCUGUUUCCAGUCCCUGGAGUGAUGACCUGCGUUGGGGAGAAGGAAAGGCCAGCCUGUUUGUCUCCUUCAGCGCUGACUCGACCUGUUCGAAGUGAGAAGCCUGGACGUGAAGACUGUGUGGCUGAGCCGGGCCCCUUCUUUGGGGGCCUGACCCCGCCUAGGGGCUGCCAGCUGGGCUGAGGGUCAGCUGUCAGCCCUAAGUGGCCGUUUGCUUCAGUUGUUCUCCGGUGUCACCGCGCUGCCAUGAAGGAGGCGGUGUGAUGCGGUUUCGGACUCAGUCUUAAGCCCAAACGAUGGGUCCGUCUGGCUACCAUUUUAUUGCUAUCCUCAAAGUACCUUUGCAAAUUUAAUGGGAAAUCAACCGUGAAAUUUAUCUAUUACAAGCAAAUACCGGGGGGCUGGAUUUGCCUUUGUUGUGUGUUUCCUGGUGGUUCAGGUCUGUCUCCUCACUGCUCCCAGCUGGGUCCCCUGACUCUGUCCCAAAGCUCAGGAACAACUAUUUUUAGACCCAGGCAAGCCCCAGGGCAUCAGACGGUAAAUCAUUAGCUGUGACUUUAAAAAUAGUCCUUGAGCCACUUUGGAAACAUUGAUUUCUCCACAGCAUGUGGACUUGGAUUUAUAUCCCACCUUUGCAGCUCAGUCCCCAUAAACAGACUGAACCCAACCACCAAGGCUGCCCACAGCGGAUGUCUCAGGGCGGAGACGGAGCUGUAACAGUGGGGUUGUGCAGCGUUUAUAAAACAAACGUUAGGCAUGGCCACCGGCCUCCCCCAGGUUCCUUACUCAGCACCACACAGGCCGGCCGGCACCCAGUUGGAGUUGAGAGUCCACGCUGGACUCUGGGCUUCGUAUUUUAUUCCAUAACAUUGUGCGGUCAGAUGAGGGCGGAACAUUACCUCUUAGAACAGCCUGGAUGUUCUAAGUCUACACCAGCGAAGUCUCCUGCAGAACUUCUGCCACCAGUUGCUGCCUCUGGUGUUUCAUAAACUCGCCGAACGUCAAAAUGAUGUCAUUCCGGACUCCUUGUUUGACUGAGAGGAAACUGAGGCCUAGAGAAGGGAAGGGACUUUUAGGAAAGUUGUGGCAAUAUCGCGAUGGCACGAGAGGGGUCCUGACUCUCGCUGAACCAUACUGUGAGAAUAUAAUAUUCUGCCUGAUGCAGACAGGGGGCUGUUUCCCACGCAGUUCAGCAGAACACAGGAACAUGCAUCUGUUAGAGCAUCGCUGCCCUAGAUGCUGUUGGGGAGAUGAGGUAGUGAGGAAAGGUUGAAAAUUCAGAUCCUCUAUGAUCACGUGGCACAAUUCUACACGUGGUGAAUUUCACCUUUAACAGUGUGGGUAGGAGAGGAGUUAAUGCAAAUGUUACUCUGUUCAUCAACGCCAAUGAUUCUGCUUCCAGAAAAGACUCAGCUUUCUGCUGGUCUAAGGGACAUUUCAAAAACGGAAAAGGAAAAAAAAAAGAAGAAGAAGAAAGAAUAAUAGGAUAAGAAGAAGGAGCUUUUGUUUUGGUGCACUUUUUUUCUUUUCUUUCUUUCUUUUUUUUGAGUAGAGGAAGCCCUCUUUCACACCAGAUUUAAAAGGAAGGCGUUUUAGAAGCGACAGAUGCAAAUACCCACCUCCACUGUUUGUUCAGCUUUGGCCAAGUUAGAGGUCAGUUUCCAGUUGUUGACAGGGAAAAGGCUAGCGAGCAAAAUACCUUUAUCAUUAAAUAUUAUCUUGCGAAAAUAUUUACGCGGGUGUAAGCAUAGAACAUCGUGCUAAUAAUGGGACACACACGUUUUGAAACUGUAAUCCAACCCCAUGAAACAAUACCCAGGAAAAGCGUCUGUUUUCCUCCCUCCCAGGUGUACACGCUGCUUAUAGUUCAGGCUUUGCAGAUGUGUGAUGGACGCCUACUUCCAUGGAUUACAAUGGCUCUUGGUCAAAUAGGAUACUUUUUAUUACUUCCCCAGAUGAAAUGCAAGAGAGCUUGGAGUUUCUGUGAUAAAGUGUCACUCCUAACGAUCAAACUUCAUUAAAAUUACAUUCCUA